CCUACGGGAGGCAGCAGUGGGGAAUAUUGGGCAAUGGGCGCAAGCCUGACCCAGCAACGCCGCGUGAAGGAAGAAGGCCCUCGGGUUGUAAACUUCUUUUAUUCGGGACGAAACAAAUGACGGUACCGAAUGAAUAAGCCACGGCUAACUACGUGCCAGCAGCCGCGGUAAUACGUAGGUGGCAAGCGUUAUCCGGAUUUACUGGGGGUAAAGGGCGUGUAGGCGGGAGAGCAAGUCAGCCGUGAAAUUCCAGGGCUCAACCCAGGAACUGCGUUGUAAACUGUUCUCUUGG
rnacentral:rRNA from 1 species